AGAUGUCCAAAAUUUGGGGGCUUACUUCUGGGCUCUUAAUUCUAGGUGGGUGUCCCCUUCUUCCUUCACCACUCCAUGUGCGUCCCUCCCGAAGCUGCGCUCUAGGUCAAAGAGGACGGCCUUCCCCGAAUAGAGAUGGACUCGUCUUCACUCGAGGGUAUACGAGUAGCUGCGCUCCUCUUGCUAGAACAAGCUCUCAAGGUCCAUUUGGGCUCUUAAGUCUAUUCCACUGGUCAGUGUGUCUAU
rnacentral:snRNA from 1 species